GCCCACUUGACUCUUCCUUCUCCACGUAACCCUAUCUUCUUCAUCUCUCACCUUUCUCUACUCCCAACCCUUCCAUUUCUCAUCUCUUCCAAUCCGUUUCAAGGAUUAACUUCACGAGUAAUUGCUCUAAUCAAUGAAUCUUUGGAAGCUCAUGAUGGAGCAAGCAAAGGCAAAUACACCAUUGGACUUGGCCAAGAUUGUUUAGCUUUUUGCACUGAGCUUGAAGACGUCAUCUCAAUGAGUUUCAAUGGGUAGAAGUUGGACUUUGAGGAGGAACGUUUCCGGUUCCAUUCCUAUGAAGACUUCGAAGCUGGCUGUGAUAUGAAAGGUGAUCUUUUCGGGGACCUGUUCUGAAGCUCUAUCUUUGGGACCAAGCUGCUGUGGAUUUCUGCAAGAAGUUCAAGUCUUCUGACAACACUCCCUCCGUGAUUUUGGUGACUACUGUUUACCCCAAACGUUUAGUAGAGAGUAAUGAAACACUUGGGACUGGGGAUGACGUUAUGGAGCCAUCCAAAAGCCCUCAAGAUAGGUGAUGGUGUUGAGAUAGGCAACGCUAAACGUUCUAAAGAUGGGAACUAAUAUGCCUCUCAUCGUGGCAAAGAAUGCAACUUUUAAUACACUUAUCUGUUUUAGCUUUCCAGUUUUUUGGCUUUUGUUGGACUAUUUCUCCUAAUUCUGCUUAUUUCAUACUUUUGAAUCUAUUUUGGAAACAAUUUGUUAAAAUAUAUUAGUGUUGAUAGGAUAGCCAAUACCAGCUUCCUACAAUCGGACUUAUCUGCAUGUUUGAUGAUGGGUAAACAGAAGCUUGCAGCAGCUAAGCCAGUUCUUUGUUCAUUUUCCAAAAAUGAUUCAGAAGAUAAAUUUAGAGAUGAGAUGGUGAAAUAUUUUGUUCUCAUAAUGUAGUUUUCAAUUUGCAUAUGCAGUGUGCGCUGUUGUUUUGUAUAGAGCACAAAUUUGUAUUUAUGAAUAUAGAAACAUGUUAAUAAGACCGCUCCUGUUGCAACAGCAUAAAUCUGUUGUUGUAACAUAAUAAAAAAAGCCUUGGUUUA